CAGCAGCCGCGGUAAUACGUAGGGAGCGAGCGUUAUCCGGAUUUAUUGGGUGUAAAGCGUGUGUAGGCGGAAAUAUAAGUCUAAGGUUUAAGCCCGGAGCUCAACUCCGGUUCGCCUUAGAAACUGUAUUUCUUGAGUAUGGUAGAGGCAAGUGGAAUUUCUAGUGUAGCGGUAAAAUGCGUAGAUAUUAGAAGGAACACCAGUGGCGAAGGCGACUUGCUGGGCCAUUACUGACGCUGAGACACGAAAGCGUGGGGAGCAAAUAGGAUUAGAUACCCUAGUAGUCCACGCCGUAAACGAUGGAUACUAAGUGUCGGGCAACCGGUGCUGAAGUUAACACAUUAAGUAUCCCACCUGAGUAGUACGGCCGCAAGGCUGAAACUCAAAGGAAUUGACGGGCACCCGCACAAGCGGUGGAGCAUGCUGUUUAAUUCGAAGAUACGCGAAAAACCUUACCUGGGCUUGACAUCCCUCUGACAGUUCUAGAAAUAGAAUCUUCCUUUCGGGGACAGGGGUGACAGGAGGUGCAUGGCC
rnacentral:rRNA from 1 species